UACGUAGGGUGCAAGCGUUAUCCGGAAUUAUUGGGCGUAAAGAGCUCGUAGGCGGUUUGUCGCGUCUGCUGUGAAAACUGGAGGCUCAACCUCCAGCCUGCAGUGGGUACGGGCAGACUAGAGUGUGGUAGGGGAGAUUGGAAUUCCUGGUGUAGCGGUGGAAUGCGCAGAUAUCAGGAGGAACACCAACGGCGAAGGCAGCACUCUGGGCCGGUACUGACGCUGAGGAGCGAAAGCGUGGGGAGCAAACAGG
rnacentral:rRNA from 1 species